GCAGGCUACAGACCAGUGAAUGUCCCCUCUUCCAGAGUCAAUGAUGGCAUCUGUGACUGCUGUGAUGCUACAGAUGAGUACACCAGUGGUACUGUUUGUGCAAAUACAUGCAAGGAGCUGGGGAAGAAGGAGCGAGAGACUUUGAAGCAGCUAGCCAAGGUGGUGAAGGCUGGGCUCCUGAUAAAAGAGCAGCUGAUCGAGAAGGCAAGGAAGACCAGAGGCGAUGAAGAGAAAGCUGGAGAAGCUCCAGGAAUCCCAAAGAGCCUUGGAGAGUGAGGCGGAGGCGAGGCGCAGGACCAAGGAGGAGGCUGAGGCUCUGGGGCAGGAGGCCAA